AUUGGGGGGGGGAAAUUGAGUCUAGUUACUAGGCAGUGUAGUUAGCUGAUUGCUAGCAGUAGUACCAAUCACUAACCACACAGCCAAGUAAACAGAUUUGUAAUUCAUCCAACCAGGU
rnacentral:pre_miRNA from 15 species